GAUGAACGCUGGCGGCGUGCCUAAUACAUGCAAGUCGAGCGAACGGACGAGAAGCUUGCUUCUCUGAUGUUAGCGGCGGACGGGUGAGUAACACGUGGAUAACCUACCUAUAAGACUGGGAUAACUUCGGGAAACCGGAGCUAAUACCGGAUAAUAUUUUGAACCGCAUGGUUCAAAAGUGAAAGACGGUCUUGCUGUCACUUAUAGAUGGAUCCGCGCUGCAUUAGCUAGUUGGUAAGGUAACGGCUUACCAAGGCAACGAUGCAUAGCCGACCUGAGAGGGUGAUCGGCCACACUGGAACUGAGACACGGUCCAGACUCCGGCGGUAGGCAGCAGUAGGGAAUCUUCCGCGAGGGACGAGUGCCUGACGGUGCAACGCCGCGUGAGUGAUGAAGGUCUUCGGAUCGGAAAACUCUGUUAUUAGGAAAGAACAUAUGUGUAAGUAACUGUGCACAUCUUGACGGUACCUAAUCAGAAAGCCACGGCUAACUACGUG
rnacentral:rRNA from 1 species